rnacentral:rRNA from 1 species
UUGAACGCUGGCGGUAUGCUUUACACAUGCAAGUCGAACGGCAGCACGGGGCAACCCUGGCGGCGAGCGGCGAACGGGUGAGUAAUGCAUCGGAACGUGUCCUCUUGUGGGGGAUAACCAGUCGAAAGACUGGCUAAUACCGCAUGAGAUCGAGAGAUGAAAGCGGGGGACCGCAAGGCCUCGCGCGAGAGGAGCGGCCGAUGCCGGAUUAGCUAGUUGGUGGGGUAAUGGCCCACCAAGGCGACGAUCCGUAGCUGGUCUGAGAGGACGACCAGCCACACUGGGACUGAGACACGGCCCAGACUCCUACGGGAGGCAGCAGUGGGGAAUUUUGGACAAUGGGGGCAACCCUGAUCCAGCCAUGCCGCGUGUGUGAAGAAGGCCUUCGGGUUGUAAAGCACUUUCGGCCGGAACGAAAUCGCGCGGGCUAACACUCCGCGUGGAUGACGGUACCGGAAGAAGAAGCACCGGCUAACUACGUGC